UACAGAGGUCUCAAGCGUUGUUCGGAUUCAUUGGGCGUAAAGGGUGCGUAGGCGGCGCUGUAAGUCGGGUGUGAAAUUUCGGAGCUUAACUCCGAGACUGCAUUCGAUACUGCGGUGCUUGAGUACUGGAGAGGAGACUGGAAUUCAUGGUGUAGCAGUGAAAUGCGUAGAGAUCAUGAGGAAGACCAGUGGCGAAGGCGGGUCUCUGGACAGUUACUGACACUGAGGCACGAAGGCCAGGGGAGCAAACGGG
rnacentral:rRNA from 1 species